rnacentral:pre_miRNA from 1 species
UUUUUAGUAUAACUAUGCCCCAUGCAGUAUUUGGGAUAUGCUUACACUAAAA